GUUCAAGAUAGUUUAGUCAGUAGAACAUGAGACUCUUGAUCUUAGGGACAUGGGUUCGAGCCCAACGUUGGGCA